AAUAUGGGACGGUUGACUUGCCUUCAAACAUUGAAUUCUUUUAGUGUGGGUCGAGAUGAAGGUUAUAGGAUUAAAGAAAUGGGACCCUUAAAGAAUCUCAGAGGAGAAAUAAACAUAUACAAUUUAGAGACGGUGAAAGAUGAGGAAGAAGCCAAAAGUGCAAAAUUAAAAGAAAAGGAAAUAUUCAAGUUGGGAUUAUUUUGGAGUCGUUUUCAUGGACAAUUGGAUAGGUAUGAUAAAGAUGAAAAGGUGUUGGAAGGCCUCCAUCCUCACCCAAAUUUGAAAAGCUUAACAAUCGCAUGGUAUGGAGGAAAGAAAUUCCCCUCUUGGGUUAAUGAUUUGUCGCUAUUUCACAAUCUGAUUCAUAUCAUAUUGAAUUCGUGUGAGGAAUGUGAAGAAGUUCCCACUCUCGGGCAUUUACCCUGUCUUAGGGUUCUUGAAAUAGAAGGCAUGGGGAAGGUAAGAAGUAUAGGAAGUGAGUUUUACGGUAACAGUGAUGGGAGUUAUAGAAAUGCUACUACAUUAUUUCCGGCAUUGAGAAUACUCAAAUUGGAGUACAUGAGUUUACUCUAGAAGAGUGGAAGGAUGCAGGUGAGGUGUUGUCGGUGUUUCCUUGCCUUGAGGAGUUGACCAUACGAUACUGUGAGAAACUGAGAUAUUUGCCAGACUCACUGCAUACCUGCAUUUCCCUUUGGGAUUUGGUAGUAGUGCGUUGUACUAACCUGAGGUAUUUGCCAAGUGUCCCGUCAGUUAUUCGACACUUGGAGAUAAUAGGGUGUGAUAUUGAUGAACUACCCAUGAAGCUACAAUUCUGUACAUCUCUUCAAUAUUUGAAGAUUGAGAAAUGUCUGAAUCUGAAAUUUAUUCCAGAAUCACUGCACACCUGCCAGAAGUUUUUAGUACAGGAUUCUCCUGAGCUGAGGUAUUUGCCAGGUGUCCCGUCAGGUAUUCAACACUUGGAGAUAAUAAGGUGUGGUAUUAAUGAACUACCCAGUGGGCUACAAUCCUGUGCAUCUCUUCAGUAUUUGGAGAUUAGGAAAUGUCAAAAUCUGAAAUCAAUUCCAGAUUUAGGAGAAGUAUUUCAUUCUCUUAUUAAUUUAAAAAUUAGCAACUGUCCUGAUCUAAGACUGAAGCUUUUGCGAGAAGGCCGCUUAAAGACUUUGGUAAUCGGUGGGUUUAUUGAAGAGUUGGAUGCUUUCCCAAGUCUGCGUUAUCCUUUCAUUCAAUACUCACACGCGUCCCUCAAAAAGCUAAUAUUGCGUGGGAGGCCUACGCUCAACUCUCUCCCGAACGAAAUUCAACUUUUCACUGCCCUUGAAGAGCUGCGGAUACAGAACUUUAACGGAAUGGAAGCUUUGCCUGAUUGGCUAGGCAAUCUUUCUUGUCUUCAAAAGCUGUCUCUUGACUAUUGCAAAAAGCUGAUGUAUCUUCCCAUUCUACACCUCACCAAUUUAAAACAUCUGCACAUUGAUAAUUGCCGCAAUUUAGAGAAAAGAUGGGCAGAAGGGAGCGGCGUUGAGUGGUCCCAGAUUGCCCAUAUUCCAAACAUCAAAAUCAAUGGUAAAUACAUCCAAGGGAAGAAUUCUGAGGACUUUGAUAGCUUUUACGACGCUGAUGAAGAAUUUGACGUCAUUGACGACUCUGAUAGCUUUUACUACAACUGGCAAGAAGAUUCCAUCUUGGAAAAUAACCAACUCAAUGACAACUGGUGCGAAGGUACUUCAGGUUUGGAAAAUAACCAACUCGAUGACAACUGAUGCCAAGGGACAGCAUAUCUAUUGUGUUCAGCCAGAGGAAAAAUUAAUUUACUUAUGGAGUUUUAAUCUAGCCGCAAGCUAAUGGAAGCUUAUAAGAUUUGGCAAAUGCAAUUGAGACAAUAUGCCUAUUGUUUCCAGCUGGUGGAACAAUUGAUUAUAAUUGCAAGCUGAUGAGCAGAGGAGGAAUGUAUAUACUUAUUAUUGAGAGAGCAAUCUUCAAGGACAGGAAGCUGGGGUUGGGCUGAUAAUCAGAGUUGCACAGGGACUACUUAUAGCUGUGAUGAGUAAGAGAAUUUUGUGUAUGAAUCCAACGAAAUCGAGGUGAUUGUUGCUGACUACUGACAGAGAGUUUUGCAAACUAUCAAAUAUAUGAAGGUACAUAUGAUCUGUUUGCAUCUGGGAAAAUAAUCAACUCGAUUCAACUGAUGGCAAGGCAUGGGGUACAACAUAUCUAUUGUGUUUAGCUGGAGGAAAAAUUUAUUCAUGGAGCUUUAAUACACUGCUAAGAAAACGGAAGAGAAGAAUAUCCGUCACUGCCCCAAAUUAAAGGAAAGAUGUGCAAAGGGGAGCGGUGCAGAGUGGGUGGUCUAGGAUUUCCUUCCCACAUUCCAAAUAUCAUUUUUUGUUGAAUUUAUCAAAGAAGAAGCAGUUUGAAGAUCGUAUACAUUAUUAAGAUGGAUGACCGGUAAGUUCUCUCACCUCACCCUCCUUUCUUUUCUAAUACUCUCCUUAACAACAACAUAAGAGUGUUUUUUUUAAUUGCUCCCAAUUCCUUCAUUUCUCCUUUAAUCAAUAAAAAAGUUGCCAUUAAGUGCAGACACUAGGGAUAGCAUAUCUAUUGUAUUUAGCCAGAGGAAAAAUGAAUUAACUUAUGGACUUUUAAUCUAGCCACAAGCUAUGGGAAGUUUAUGAGAAUUGUUAAGUUUCUGUAAUCUUCGCUUGUCUUCAAAUAUAUGAAGUACUAAUUCAAUCCAAUAAGUAUACCAUUUAUGCCAAUUAUCCCCUCUUCCCUUUCACUUUUCCUACAAUAGCAUCUAUUUCAUCUUGGUAUUCUGAUGAUAUUCUAAUACUAUUCACGUGUUGAUGUCAUUGUAUCAAUGUUGUAAGUGACAGGUAGCACUUGACAUUUCUUCUAAUGUAAAAAGCCACCAGAAUUCCUUAUUUAUCAGAGGAUUUUUUUUCCAAUGUCAAGGAUACUUCACACACCACCCAUUUUGGAGCCUAAUCUUCUUUUGGCUGUCAGAGCUGUUUGGCCAGCUUUGACACCUAUAUGUGCUUAGUUGGAGGCAUUAAAUUCUGACGAUGUUGGAGCCUCUGCAUAUGUUCUGUGGUAACUUUUCGUCUUUGUAAGAACUGAAGUUCUGGAACAAGAACUGCUACUACCUACCAACAAUGCAGGAGGUGCCCUCACUUUCUAUGGAAAGCUAAAUGGAAGAUUCCUGGAGUGGUUGUCAAAGCUGGAUGCUUUGUUUCUUACUGUUUGCUAGAGUUCCAUUGGUAGAAGAUUGGUCAUACUCCAAGAAUCACAGUGGGGAAAUUUAAAUUGGUUCCAAUGCAAUUGACUUAGUGAAAUUUGCACUGGCAUAUCUGAUGUGUUCAGCUGGAGGAAACAUUUAUUCAUGGAGCUUUUAACCCACCCUGAAUCCAACCGAAGAGCUAAAUAUCCUUUCAUUGCUCCAAAUUAAUUGAAAGAUGUGUGCAAAAGCAUGUGGUGCAGAGUGGUCUAGGAUUUCCCACAUUCCAAAUAUCUAUUUUAAUGAAUGUAUUAAACAAGAAGCUGUCUGAAGAUCAUGUACAUUAUUAAGAUGGAUGACCAGUAAGUUUCAGACAAUUAAAAUCUCUGACAUGGUAGAAGUUCUUUUGUAAUAUAAAAGGAAAUGGAAAAGAAUCCGUCUUCUUUUUGGUCAA